UUUAUGUUCGUGAUGAACUCGUAGUGCAACUGAUAUAAAUUGAAGACCAAAAUAUUAGUUUUUCGCUCCUAUCUGAAAUAAUCU